rnacentral:rRNA from 1 species
GGCGUAAGAGCUCGUAGGCGGUUUGUCGCGUCUGCCGUGAAAGUCCGGGGCUCAACUCCGGAUCUGCGGUGGGUACGGGCAGACUCAAGUGAUGUAGGGGAGACUGGAAUUCCUGGUGUAGCGGUGAAAUGCGCAGAUAUCAGGAGGAACACCGAUGGCGAAGGCAGGUCUCUGGGCAUUAACUGACGCUGAGGAGCGAAAGCAUGGGGAGCGAACAGGAUUAGAUACCCUGGUAGUCCAUGCCGUAAACGUUGGGCACUAGGUGUGGGGGACAUUCCACGUUUUCCGCGCCGUAGCUAACGCAUUAAGUGCCCCGCCUGGGGAGUACGGCCGCAAGGCUAAAACUCAAAGGAAUUGACGGGGGCCCGCACAAGCGGCGGAGCAUGCGGAUUAAUUCGAUGCAACGCGAAGAACCUUACCAAGGCUUGACAUGGACCGGACCGCCGCAAAAAUGUGGUUUCCCCUUUGGGGCCGGUUCACAGGUGGUGCAUGGUUGUCGUCAGCUCGUGUCGUGAGAUGUUGGGUUAAGUCCCGCAACGAGCGCAACCCUCGUUCUAUGUUGCCAGCGCGUGAUGGCGGGGACUCAUAGGAGACUGCCGGGGUCAACUCGGAGGAAGGUGGGGGACGACGU